UUCAUAGCGUUCAUAGGAAGCCUAUAUCGGCCUAUAUGCUUGUACAUGCUCGUACAGAAAUACGUUGAAAUAGGAAUGCACGGGAAUGUUGUAUCUGAUUUAUACUGUAUAGAUACAUGUUUUUGCAAACUGUCCGAGUGAAAGUGUGUAAAUUAGUUAUUAAUUUAAAAUGUGGCAGAUUAUUUUAGUUAUAACACACUGGCUUUUAGAAUAUUGGAAUAGGCGCCGAAAAGGAUAUGAAAAAGAAAACUGGAGACUACUUCGACGCAGGAGGUUAUUGAUGAUGCGUCUUUUGCAACAGCGGCGUCGAAGAAAUGUAGUGAAAUCUUGUUGGGCUUAUCCUACAUCAGCACGGUUUUGGGAAGAAAUUGUACCAACAUAUAACGACAUAAAUUUCUUGAAACAUUUUGGCACUGGGCGUGAAACGUUCCAGUGUCUUGUUGACGAGCUGUACUUAGACCUAGUUCGAGAAGAUACAAUCAUGAGACCAGCAAUUCCAGUGGAUAAAAGAAUUGCUGUAGCACUUACACUUUUGAGAACCAGUAGUGAUUUCCUUUCCGUUGCAAAACUUUUCGGAAUUGGAGAAAGUACAGUUCAUCUGAUUUUGAAGGAAUUCAGUAGUGCAGUCUGUAAAACAUUGUAUGGUAAAAUUGUAACGUUUCCUUCUACUGUGAUGGAAAGAGAAGAAAUUGUUAGUGCCUUCAACAACAGGUGGCAUUUUCCUGGGUGUCUGGGUGUAUUAGGAACGUCACAUAUCCCAAUUUUGUCACCUUCACAGUCUGAAAAUAAUUAUUUUAACAAAGAAGGGUACCAUUCUAUAGUGGUCCUUGGACUUGUAGAUCAUCAUCAUACAUUCAGAUUGGCAACUUUGACAUUAUGAAGAUGAUGUGUUGUGAGUGAUGAAAUGAAGCAUCAGUUAGACACCUCAACCUUACUUGCUGUACAGAGCUGCAGUAAACACUGCCAGUUAAAUCAGGUAUUAAGAAUGUAAGAAUUGGAAGUCGCAUUCUCUGAAGUUAAAAGAGAUGACUUAGUAGUGAACAGAAGAUUGCACUUCAUAAAAGAAGUUUGCAACAGUUUUCUUAUGAUGCACAAAUACUGUCACCCAAAGACUUUUAUGAAUUUGCAGAAGAAAGCAUUCAUGGAGUACAAUAUUUUUAUAUGAGUCAGGUGGACAUCACAAAAUGAAAAAGAACUAGAAGAAUGUGUAUGCUGAUGUGGGACAACCUGGUGGAAGCAGUGAUGCAGAAACAUUCUUCAAAAGUGAAUUGUACAGAUAUCUUUCUGCAAAGCUGAUACCAGAAGAAUUUCACUUAAUUGCAGGUUCAUCAUUUCCUCUACUUCAUUCGCUUAUGACACCUUUUCCAUUUAAUAAAUCAAAAGAUUCAAUGCAGAAAAGGUUUGAUUACCAUUUACAUAAAGCCUUUACACCUUUGAAGGUAGCCUUUGCUCACUUGAGAGGACGAUGGAAAAUCUUACUUAAACGAUGUGACUUGCAACUGGACAAUAUGAUUGACAUUGCAAAGACUUGUUUGGUUCUUCACAAUCUCUGUGAAAGCAAUGGAGACAAUUACUUUGAUUGCUGGGAUCAAAAUGUUAACGAUGAAAGUACAUUUUCACAAUCAAUGCACAAGGAAAAUCUGACAACUGCUUCUCAAGGAGGAGUUACAAAGAGAAAUGAAUUGGCAAUUUUUCUCUAUUAACUGGUAUAUUAACACCGAUAUGAAUAAGCACUGCCGUUAAUGAAUGUGAUUGUAAACAUUUCAUUCCAGUAUAGUACUGUACUUUAUUCUUUCUUUAGUUAAUCUUCACAUUAUGAUGGAACAUAGAGUGGAGAAAUGUUUUUUGUAGCCACCAAUCAUUUUAUGUUGUUCCUGAAGUGUGUACACACCAUCAGAUAGAUUGCAAACAAAGUGUC